rnacentral:ncRNA from 1 species
GUUUCGGGGCGGGGUGAAAUUCCCCACCGGCGGUGAUGCGCUGAUCUGCGCCAAGCCCGCGAGCGCCCGCAGGGGUGCUGAAUCGGUGAAAUUCCGAUGCCGACGGUAAAGUCCGGAUGAAAGAAA